rnacentral:rRNA from 1 species
UAGGGAAUCUUCGGCAAUGGGGGGAACCCUGACCGAGCAACGCCGCGUGAGUGAAGAAGGUUUUCGGAUCGUAAAGCUCUGUUGUUAAGGAAGAACGAGUGUGAGAAUGGAAAGUUCAUACUGUGACGGUACUUAACCAGAAAGGGACGGCUAACUACGUGCCAGCAGCCGCGGUAAUACGUAGGUCCCGAGCGUUGUCCGGAUUUAUUGGGCGUAAAGCGAGCGCAGGCGGUUAGAUAAGUCUGAAGUUAAAGGCAGUGGCUCAACCAUUGUAUGCUUUGGAAACUGUUUAACUUGAGUGCAGAAGGGGAGAGUGGAAUUCCAUGUGUAACGGUGAAAUGCGUAGAUAUAUGGAGGAACACCGGUGGCGAAAGCGGCUCUCUGGUCUGUAACUGACGCUGAGGCUCGAAAGCGUGGGGAGCGAACAGG